rnacentral:misc_RNA from 1 species
AACGCAUAUUGCACUCUCUGGUAUUCCGGGGAGUAUGCCUGUUUGAGGGUCAGUAAAAAUAAAAAAUCUAUCAUGAAUCCUUUUUUUAAUUUAUUUUAUUAAAUCGAAUUCAUGGAAUUGGAUCUUUCAAAAAUUUCAUUAUUUUUGAUGAUCUUAAAUUUAUGUUAUAUGGCUAUAUAAUAAACUGAACCAAAAAGAGCAAUUAUUUAUAAUUAAUCUCAUUUAGUGAUGUUUUAUUAAGCCAAAUAUGAUUUAUUUUGAUAUUUAAUAUUAAAAUAAAUCAUAAACAUAUUUUAAAAUGACCUCAAAUCAGGUAAGAGUACCCGCUGAACUUAA